rnacentral:rRNA from 1 species
UACAGAGGUCUCAAGCGUUGUUCGGAUUCAUUGGGCGUAAAGGGUGUGUAGGUGGCGCGCUAAGUCAGACGUGAAAUCCCCAGGCUCAACCUGGGAACUGCGUCUGAUACUGGAUGGCUUGAAUCCGGGAGAGGGAUGCAGAAUUCCUGGUGUAGCGGUGGAAUGCGCAGAUAUCAGGAGGAACACCGGUGGCGAAGGCGGGAUCCUGGGCCAGUACUGACGCUGAGGAGCGACAGCAUGGGGAGCGAACAGG